UCCCUACCAUCGUUUCCCCCCUACCCGCUUUCCUGCUGAGCCGGCGAGUGCCCAGAGACCAAGUGAAUCUGCAAGUGAAUUGCACAUUUGUGAGUUGCACACGCGCCAAAGAAGAGAAGAUUGCAAUGAUGUCGACACGCCACAGGCUGGGAGCAUUACAGCAUAAGACAAAUGCAGCAAUGUCUCUGAUGAUCCCAUGCGGGACAGGUCAAUAGGUCAUCCACCUGGAGUUUUUGAAUCUGCCGCCGCAAACUGUUUGCUGUCUGCUUACGGGUCUGGGCAUCAGCUGCACCCUACGGGACCUCGCCAACCUGCCUGAACCCUGUCCCAUCACACAUCCACCUGGAGUUUUUGAAUCUUGACAGCCGCUCCUUGACAGCCAUACUGAAUUAUAGCAGAGCUAUAACAAUUCGUGCUACUCUCACUAGUCGACCAUGUUUAAUUGAACAGUCGAUCCCUCCGGAAAGCGAGCACCUGUGGAAACCCUUCCAUAAUUUUCCAAGUGACGUCGCGACGCCUAUGCCUUCGGCCUUCGCAUAGUACCUCUACUCCAUAAGGUCGUAGGCUGUUACUGUCUAUUAAUGAGCCACUUUAACGCUGCCGGCGACCUCACAGACCUGCUCACA
rnacentral:lncRNA from 1 species